rnacentral:rRNA from 1 species
GACGAACGCUGGCGGCGUGCUUAACACAUGCAAGUCGAACGGAAAGGCCCUGCUUGCAGGGUACUCGAGUGGCGAACGGGUGAGUAACACGUGGGUGAUCUGCCCUGCACUUCGGGAUAAGCCUGGGAAACUGGGUCUAAUACCGGAUAGGAGCCAUUUUUAGUGUGAUGGUUGGAAAGUUUUUUCGGUGUAGGAUGAGCUCGCGGCCUAUCAGCUUGUUGGUGGGGUAAUGGCCUACCAAGGCGGCGACGGGUAGCCGGCCUGGGAGGGUGGACGGCCACAUUGGGACUGAGAUACGGCCCAGACUCCUACGGGAGGCAGCAGUGGGGAAGAUUGCACAAUGGGCGCAAGCCUGAUGCAGCGACGCCGCGUGGGGGAUGACGGCCUUCGGGUUGUAAACUCCUUUCGCUAGGGACGAAGCUUUUUGUGACGGUACCUAGAUAAGAAGCACCGGCUAACUACGUG